ACAUUGUUAGCUCAGUCGGUUAGGACGUGGUGCUGACAACACCAAGGCCGCGGGUUCUAUCCCCGCUCGGUCUC
rnacentral:tRNA from 1 species